AAUCAACGCUGGCGGCGUGCCUAACACAUGCAAGUCGAACGCGAAAGCCCCGCAAGGGGUAAGUAGAGUGGCAAACGGGUGAGUAACACGUGGGUGACCUGCCUUCGAGUGGGGGAUAACGUCCCGAAAGGGACGCUAAUACCGCAUGACAUCCUGCUUUUGAAAAAGCGGAGAUCAAAGCUGGGGAUCGCAAGACCUAGCGCUUGAAGAGGGGCCCGCGCCUGAUUAGCGAGUUGGUGAGGUAACGGCUCACCAAGGCGACGAUCAGUAUCCGGCCUGAGAGGGCGGACGGACACACUGGGACUGAGACACGGCCCAGACUCCUACGGGAGGCAGCAGUGGGGAAUUGUUCGCAAUGGGCGCAAGCCUGACGACGCAACGCCGCGUGGAGGACGAAGAUCUUCGGGUCGUAAACUCCUGUCGAGCGGGACGAACGCUUCGCGGAUGAAUAAUCCGCGGAAUUGACGGUACCGCUAAAGGAAGCCCCGGCUAACUCCGUG
rnacentral:rRNA from 1 species